CUCCACCGAUGCUACCCUCUGUCGGAAAAGGGAGCGAGGAGCAGCGUGACUCCGACCCACACUUGAGAAAUGUUUGGCCUUCAACAGGAUUUACUGCUAAGCUCUCUAUCAGGAGGAAUGCCCCAGUUCCCUGCUUGGACCCAAAUGAAGUAGAAGUAUAAAGAGCCCUGGGUAAUAUACGUUGAUUGAUCGUUUAAAACCACAGCCAUGCAACAUACACUCCUAAUUUUACUUUGAUGGAUACAACACUCUCCUGUCUCUUUCUCAAUGUUUAUUGUAAAACUUUCUUCAGAAAAUACAGAAUUUUCACAGAGCACCAACUACUUCCAACCUUCCCAGUCUCUUGCUUCCACCCA